rnacentral:tRNA from 1 species
GGGGGUAUAGCUUAGUGGUAAAGUGCCUGCCUAGCAAGCAUGAGGUCCUGGGUUCAAUCCCCAGUACUACCA